GCUAGUUUAGAAUUUAUUUUAAUUGCAUUUUGUAUCGAUUUUCGAAUUAGAUCUGAGGAGGCAACCACUUGCGGGAUCCGGAACUCGAGGAGUUUAACGGAGUUCUUGCUUGUUGGGUUAUUUUUGGAUAGCAAGUCAUACGAGGUUAACUCGGUUGAACUAUCUCGGGACUCACAGCUUGGGAUUAAGAUGUGGCAUGAGUUAACUCGGUCGAACUAUCUCGGGACUAUCGUGGUGGCGGUUAACUCGGUUGAAUUAGUUUGGGACCGUACCACUUCGGUUAAUUUGAUUUGAGAUAACACAAAUAGUAUAAGUACUUUGAAGGGAAGUUUAGUCCAUUCACAUUACGAUUAAGAGUAGGGUUUUGAUCAGAUCUAAUAUUUUUGUUUAUUUUGAUA